GCUGCCACCCCGUGUCCACAUCUGAUGCAUGAUGCCAGCAGGGAACCAGCACUUUCUGGAUUUCUCCUGCACUGGGCACAGGUCUUUGUACACGGGAAGUUCUACUAAAAAGUUGAAUGCGUGUGUAACAGUUGCUCUCAGUUCAUCUUCCCCUUUUGAACCUCUCUUCUCUGGCCUCGUCAUUUGUGUUAAUUGUUUAUUUGCUGUGUUCUGAUGCUUUGACACCUGGGGUCCUUGCUGACUCGAGGGACUGUAUCUCCCAGGGCAGCCAGAUUCUACAGAUAACAAAGAACUCACCUAUGAGCACACCUUUCCAAUGCAAAACCCCACCCCUCCUCCACGGGGCUCCCACCCGCUCUCUGGGCCACCAUCCUCUGCCCUCGUCACCCACGACAGGUGCCAGACAACCAGGGACAGCCCUGUGCUCCAGAGCUUGUGGGAAUGACCCCAAACCAGCCGGUCCUCAGCCUGCUCCCCCCUGCAUUGUCCUCUCCUUCUGCAGAAGCCACAUUGAGGGCUCUUGUCCACAGCAUCCCCUGCUCUGGCCCUGACGAACCCUGGUGCUUCUCCGUGUAGCCCUGCCGAGCAUAGGCCUCCUGAUUCUGGGGACACACGAAGACUAAAACUUCUCCUUUCAUGACUGUCACGUGCAUGACUGCGUGUCAUCUUACCCUACCUGGUUAAAACUAAUCUCAAGUACCUUUGAAUCCUUUGUGGCAUCGGACUAUGUGGAGCCCAGCCCUGAAGAGCUGUCCUGGGGUUUUCCUAAGAGCUACAAAUAUCCACAUCUGCUCUCUAUUCUUUUCUUCCACCCUCAGCCCAGGAGGCUGAUCCCAUUGGACUAGCCUGUCUGUGGCUUCCUGUUGGGGUCAAUGGAUGGGGAGCCCUCAAGGGGAUUCAGAGGGACAGAAGGUUGCAGGCUGUUGCAGCUGACGGAAUUUGCUGUUGGCAGAGACUGCCUGCUGCCAGACAAGGUUGUGUCUGUUCCACAAAAGCCCAGCUCCCUCUGCCAGGAGCUCUUGGCACCGGAGGUCACCAAGCCCGCUGUGGGGCCUACCUACGCCAUCAACAGUGAUGAUGUCUCAUGUAUGAAUAAUGCCUUGACAGAGCGUUUCUCAACUCCUUCCUGCAAAGAAGGGAUCAGAGAGUCUAGGGGGAAGGUAAGCGCCUGCCCAAGGCCACACGGUUGUGAGGGGGAAGGGCAGGAGUGAAAGCCAAGGUCAGGGUGGGAGCAGAGAUCAGGGCAGGACCAGCCAGCUCCGUGUGCUGUGGACUGAGAGGUUCAAAGGAAGUAGAAAUGUCAAUACAUGGGAAACAGGUGGACUGAAAAAUCGAUGGCAGUGCUGAAGGGUCUUAAGCAAUCAAUAUUUGUGUAGGAUGUGCGGAGAAGCAGCUGAGCUAACAUGAGCUUCAUCUGCUGAAGGUGCUGAUGAGCUAACGUGUGGAAUGCGGAGGACCGAGCAGUUCACAGGAGGGUGUGUAUCAGUUAGCAUGAAACUGCUGCGUAACAAAAUAGCCCCAGGCUCAGGGGCCUAAAGGUCAGCUGAUGGCCUAGUCUGGGCUUGGCCAGAGAAGCUGUUUUUUUUUCUCCAGAGACAGCAGGCCAGCCAGGCCUGUCCUGCUCCUGAUGCUGGCAGAAGCAUGAAAAGACAAAUGCAAAGGUGCAGACACUUGAGACCCAGACCCGGAGCUGGCUGAGAAUGCUCAGGCCCUCCUGGUGCUCUUGGGCAAACAGGGCCCACGGGGGACCCCGCAGGCAGGGGGUGGGGAAGUAGUCUUCACCCCUUCAGUGGGAGGAACUUCAGAGUCC
ensembl:lncRNA